rnacentral:rRNA from 1 species
AACUUCUGCUAAUUCCCGGAUGAGCCUUUUCGGUAAAAGAUAAAUUGCCUGGAGAUGAGCUCGCGUCUGAUUAGCUAGUUGGUGAGGUAAAAGCUUACCAAGGCGACGAUCAGUAGCUGGUCUGAGAGGAUGAGCAGCCACACUGGGACUGAGACACGGCCCAGACUCCUACGGGAGGCAGCAGUGGGGAAUUUUCCGCAAUGGGCGAAAGCCUGACGGAGCAAGACCGCGUGGGGGAGGAAGGCUCUAGGGUUGUAAACCCCUUUUCUUUGGGAAGAAGAAAGUGACGGUACCAAAGGAAUCAGCCUCGGCUAACUCCGUGCCAGCAGCCGCGGUAAUACGGAGGAGGCAAGCGUUAUCCGGAAUGAUUGGGCGUAAAGCGUCCGCAGGUGGCCAUGUAAGUCUGCUGUCAAAACCCAGGGCUCAACUCUGGUCAGGCAGUGGAAACUACAAAGCUAGAGUCUGGUAGGGGCAAAGGGAAUUCCCGGCGUAGCGGUGAAAUGCGUUAGAUUUCGGGAAGAACAUCGGUGGCGAAAGNCGCUUUGCUAAGACCAGAACUGACACUCCAGGGACGAAAGCCUAGGGGAGCGAA